AUGUGCAACAAAUAUUUAAUGAAAAUCAAUUAAAUAGAUGUUAUUAAAAGCCAACAUUAAAUGGUGCUAGAAUAAAAGCAGGGACAUUAUCAUCAGUCCUUCAAACAUGGCCUGCAGCUCUGAACUUUUCUCAACACCGCCCAACAGUGGUGACCAUCACACGGUGUUUAACUCUCCAGUUCCCAAAAUACGACAGAUUAUGAAACUGUGAGGACAGAGCAGUAAAUAUUUACAGCUAGUGAGAGGAGAUGUGUGUUACGCCCCCUGUCGGUGCAGCUCCUUUGCCUUGAACCAUGUGGAGUAUCUCCAGAGGUGGAGACAUGUUUGAAGCUAAAUGUGAAACAGGAUGAUUGCGGAAAAUAUCGUGACCUUAUUCUCCUCAAACUUCCUCAAGUGAAAGUGUGAAAAUGACAGUCUAUUAAAUGUUUGGUCAGUUUUUAACCAAAGCAGAAAAAUUUGUUUCUAUUUUGGUUUCACAGUUAAUUUUCAGAAUUUUCUUGUUUCAGUUUAGUUUACAGCUUCUGUUUGUCAGGCGCACAACAGUUUCUAUUCUCGAGAAACAUUCGUAUCAAAGCCUCUUCAGGUUAAGUUGUCUUGAUAAAUUAUAUCAAUGGCUUUCACAAAGACGAGACAUAUUUUCUGUAUCUAUAUAUUUCCUGUAUAAGUAUAAGAAACAUGGACCAAAGUUAUGGACUUAUGAACAAAGUCCCACGCUAAUCCAUAGAACAAUAAAGUAGAUAUGUGCUAAUAUAUUAAUUAGAAUAAUGUGCAGCAAUUUUGGCAAAGAGUAAACCUAAAACAUAUUUAUGUUCAUUAAUUGUUUGGUCGGAUUCCAGAAAUCUGAGGAUAGGUCAUCACCCACUGACAGCUGGUAACCGUGAAUCUGAUAAGUGGUUAGGAAAAAAGAUGGAUGGGUUUGAAUGUUUUUCAUGACAAGCUCAAUGAAAAACCUUCAUUGACUCCAUGAGACGUCAGCUGAAUUACGUCAGGUCUGACUUCUUCUUGGUCUGUCUGGAAAAUAUUUGUUCGUUUCGUAAUAUUUACAAAGGUUGAGUGAGUGGAUUUCAAAAUGUUCAAACAUGGCCCAGAAGAGCAGACCAUGUGAUGAUUUUAUCCGAGUUACUAGUCAGCCAGUGGUUCCCUCUUCAUGAAAUCAACAGGUCACAUAAUUCUGCAUGUCAGGAGGAAGCAUUAGCCAGCACGCAGUAUCAUUUUAUUACAUCAGUCAACAAGGUGACAGCUGGAUCCUCCUCAUUGUGACAGAAAAUAUCCAAUUUUUUCAAGAAUUUAAAUGUUGUAUAAAUGGCGCGCACACACACACACACACACACACACACACACACACACACACACACACACACACACACACACACACACACACACACGACUGAUUCUGAAUUUCAUCACAGAUGACAGAGUUAACAAUUGAAAUACACAACAGAGCGACUUAAAGUUUUCUGAGGUGACACAAAUUAGAAACGCGGCGCAUGAUCGGCAUAAUGUGAACAAUAUUCUCAUAAAAUAUCAUUUUGACUGGCAGCUAAAUUCAAGUUUUGCCCAUGAAGUGGACUCGACUACAGAACAGCGCUGAACUAAAACGAAUGUACUGAAACAUUCGGCAGACAAGAAGCGAGACAGAAAGACAAAGAAAGAAAAAGGUGGAACAUCACAUGCUUUUGUUGAGUCCACUUCAGUGUGUUUGAGAAACAAGACAAACAUUUCCUCCUGAAAUCACUUCCGUAACCUCGUAAACAUUGGCACUUUCUCUGUUGGCACUAACUGGAAGACAAACUUGUUUCUCUGAGGAACCAGAACAAAGUUGAGACCUGUUCCUGUCACUGGCUUUUCAGUAGCAAAUACACAAUGAAAGCACAUGCAUCAAAAUGUCAAAUGUAAACAAAAUUAAAACAAAAAGUCUUGAUCUUUCUUUAGUACUCAUUAUUAUAUCUGCUCUAGGCUUUUGAAAAAAAUAACAAUGCUCAACUUUGAUCUUCUGUGUGAUGACACGACUAGACAAAAGGUUUUUCUGUUACUUCUACUGAACGUGUGCAUGAAUCCAGGUGAUGGUGACAUCUGUAGAGGUGCUACAGACAGGAAAACUGAGGAGGAGUGAAGCUGUUACAAAGGGUCAGGCCACCACAUUAAUGGAGCUACAGAACAAAAACAAGCAUCGUGUCAUCGAGUCUUCUUCUCUAAUUAAACCCAGAGAUCUUUUCCGGGAGGAAGACUGGAACUUUAUGCUACUUUCAUAAAACGUGGCUGGAAAUAUAACUACAAAUCUAGUUUUCUGGAUAGUUCCCAUUUACCUGACUUGGCACUCAAUAAUACAGACAUGUAUGCCUCCAUCACAAUCGCUUAUUAGUCCAAUUUGAAAUAGCUGAAAAGUACAGAUGCUUGGGUAAUUUAAAAUGUCAUGUUGACACAGUUUGUCUUGUACCUGUUCUGCUCAUUCAAAAUUCACACUGGCCAUUGAUGCAGCCGCCCAGCUCAUACUCCGUCUGAAAGCUGUAUUAGAGCCUCUCCUGAUUGGUUUGAACACAGGUAGGCGGGGCUUUAGUGCUCACAGCCACACCUGUGUGACUGAAAUGAUAUGUAGGAAAAAAGUAGAAAAAAAAGUGUGUUUGGAGUAGUCUGACGUCAGAGCUUUAGGCUCAAUAUUUGAACCCAUGUUUAACACGAGCAUCCAUCAAUGUAAGAGUAUAUACAUGACAGGAAAUAAGGAGAAGCCUUAAAGGCCCCUUGCAUGAAGUAAAGCUGUGUCUUCAUGAGUUAUAAAUGGCUUGAAACUUAACCAAUAACCCCAGAUGUUUUUCCCCUUUCAGCCUGACAUAUUCUAUGAAUAUGCUUACAGUAUACAGCAUAUAGUAUAUGAAGAAUGCCAUUUUUUCAGAACUGGGAUUUUCCUACUUAAUAAAAAAAUCUAUUUCAAAUUUAAACUGUAGUGUAGUGCAAUAUUAUUUUGUUUGACUGUUAGAUCAGCAACACUGGAGGCAAUAACUUUUUGCCCCAAUUACACUCUUCCAUAUCUGCACGACAAAAAACGAGAGACUGCAAAUGAAAGCUAAACAACCGGCAUGUCAGAGUUCCAAAAUCAUGAAUAACAGGGCCGCCAAUGUGUGUAAAACGUUGUCUUAUAUACCCCAAAAGGUUGAUUCUGUUCAUCUGGACGUAGCGAUUUCAGUGGGAGAAACGUUUCGUCACUCAUCAAAGUGACUUCUUCUGCCUUAAAUAUUUAUUUUUAUUAUUUAAGUUCACCCCAUGUGAGUUUUAUCUCCUUUAUAUUUAUUCUACCCUUGAGACAAAAAGCAGUGGUACUUCAGAUCUAUUUCUGUUUAUGGAGGAAAAAAUUAGAGUGCCUUUAAGGUGGCGGCGUGUACCUUGUAACGGGUCACAAUGCUCCAAAGAAUCUCAGUAGAUAAGGUGGAGACUUAAUGGGUGGUAGUGGUGAUAGUGAACAAGGUGAUGAACACGUGAUAUAAAAAAAACCACUCCCCCAGUAUACAUCAGCAGGUGGUGGAGGAGACACCAGCUCUCCUCACUGUCUCAGGCUUAAAUAACCAGGAAGUGUGCAAAGAGUCAGCAGGUCGAUGAGUGCUUGACUUGCAGUUUAACAUGCUGUGAAUCCAGAGCCUCGGGAAACAUGUUAAAACCUGGAGUCCUUCAUUGUGAAUGCUGACAGCCAAACCAGAGCUGAGGUCCACAGAGUUACUCCAUGAUGUUCCUGUUGUAGUCAUAGGACAGCCGUCGCUUAGCAGCGGCAUGUUGAGCAUGCUGAUUGGCUGAGGGGAGGCCAGGGGAGAGGCGGCAGUUUGCUGUCGAGGAAGCAGGUCUGCUUUCCUGCAAAGAUGAAAACUAAAAUCAGCAACACAGCUGACUACAGCGUAGUUUAUCAACUAGCCAGAGAGAAGGUUACAACAAAU
ensembl:lncRNA